AGGAAACAGCACAACCAGGAAAUUGUGGAUCAACUAGAAUCAAAUCAGACAAUUGGAAUCUUGAUGUUUGAGAAAGCAGAAAUGAAGACAGCACUGUAUCACACUGAACGUGCUGCUGCCAGGCAGUUUGAAGGUGGAGAGUCCACAGAUCUGGCCAGCUGCCUGCAGUAUUCCCAGCAGUUUACGGGAGAAUUGGAACGAACUCUCUUUGCUCUCUCCACGCAGCAGAAGAAC
rnacentral:lncRNA from 1 species